rnacentral:miRNA from 1 species
AUGUUAUUGGGUUGUGCAAAAGUAAUUGCGGUUUUUGCCAUUAAAAGUAAUUGCAAAAACUGCAAUUACUUUUGCACCAACCUAA